rnacentral:rRNA from 1 species
AUUGAACGCUGGCGGCAGGCCUAACACAUGCAAGUCGAGCGAGCGGCGGACGGGUGAGGAAUGUUUGGGAAACUGCCUGACGGAGGGGGAUAACAACUGGAAACGGUAGCUCAUACCGCAUACCAUCAGAUGUGCCCAGAUGGGAUAAGCUGGUAGGUGGGGUAACGGCCCACCUAGGCGACGAUCCCUAGCUGGUCUGAGAGGAUGACCAGCCACACUGGAACUGAGACACGGUCCAUGCUCCUACGGAGGGCAGCAGUGGGGAAUAUUGCACAAUGGGCACAAGCCUGAUGCAGCCAUGCCUCGUGUGUGAAGAGGGCCUUCGGGUUGUAUAGCACUUUCAGCGGGGAGGCGUUACCCGCAGAAGAAGCACCGGCUAACUCCGUGCCAGCAGCCACGGUAAUUC